AUUGAACGCUGGCGGCAUGCUUUACACAUGCAAGUCGAACGGCAGCGCGGGCUUCGGCCUGGCGGCGAGUGGCGAACGGGUGAGUAAUGCAUCGGAACGUGCCCAGUAGUGGGGGAUAGCCCGGCGAAAGCCGGAUUAAUACCGCAUACGACCUGAGGGUGAAAGCGGGGGACCGAAAGGCCUCGCGCUAUUGGAGCGGCCGAUGUCGGAUUAGCUAGUUGGUGGGGUAAAGGCUUACCAAGGCGACGAUCCGUAGCUGGUCUGAGAGGACGACCAGCCACACUGGGACUGAGACACGGCCCAGACUCCUACGGGAGGCAGCAGUGGGGAAUUUUGGACAAUUGGGGCAACCCUGAUCCAGCCAUGCCGCGUGCGGGAAGAAGGCCUUCGGGUUGUAAACCGCUUUUGUUCGGGAAGAAAUCCUCUGGGCUAAUACCCCGGGGGGAUGACGGUACCGGAAGAAUAAGCACCGGCUAACUACGUG
rnacentral:rRNA from 1 species